rnacentral:hammerhead_ribozyme from 1 species
AUCCAGAUGACGAGUGUGAAAUAGGACGAAAUGCACAUACUGGAU